UGGGGAAUAUUGCACAAUGGGGGAAACCCUGAUGCAGCGACGCCGCGUGAGCGAAGAAGUAUUUCGGUAUGUAAAGCUCUAUCAGCAGGGAAGAUAAUGACGGUACCUGACUAAGAAGCCCCGGCUAACUACGUGCCAGCAGCCGCGGUAAUACGUAGGGGGCAAGCGUUAUCCGGAUUUACUGGGUGUAAAGGGAGCGUAGACGGCAAGGCAAGUCUGAUGUGAAAACCCAGGGCUUAACCCUGGGACUGCAUUGGAAACUGUCUGGCUCGAGUGCCGGAGAGGUAAGCGGAAUUCCUAGUGUAGCGGUGAAAUGCGUAGAUAUUAGGAAGAACACCAGUGGCGAAGGCGGCUUACUGGACGGUAACUGACGUUGAGGCUCGAAAGCGUGGGGAGCAAACAG
rnacentral:rRNA from 1 species